AGUUUGAUUCUGGCUCAGAGCGAACGCUGGCGGCAGGCCUAACACAUGCAAGUCGAACGGACCUUUCGGGGUUAGUGGCGGACGGGUGANNACACGUGGGAGCGUGCCUUUAGGUUCGGAAUAAGCUCGGGAAACUGGGUCUAAUACCGAAUGCGCCCUUCGGGGGAAAGAUUUAUCGCCUUUAGAGCGGCCCGCGUCUGAUUAGCUAGUUGGUGGUGUAAUGGACCCCCAAGGCGACGAUCAGUAGCUGGUCUGAGAGGAUGACCAGCCACAUUGGGACUGAGACACGGCCCAAACUCCUACGGGAGGCAGCAGUGGGGAAUCUUGCGCAAUGGGCGAAAGCCUGACGCAGCCAUGCCGCGUGUAUGAUGAAGGUCUUAGGAUUGUAAAAUACUUUCACCGGUGAAGAUAAUGACUGUAGCCGGAGAAGAAGCCCCGNCNNNCUUCGUGCCAGCAGCCGCGGUAAUACGAAGGGGGCUAGCGUUGCUCGGAAUUACUGGGCGUAAAGGGAGCGUAGNCNGACAUUUAAGUCAGGGGUGAAAUCCCAGAGCUCAACUCUGGAACUGCCUUUGAUACUGGGUGUCUUGAGUGUGAU
rnacentral:rRNA from 1 species